rnacentral:rRNA from 1 species
GAUGAACGCUGGCGGCGUGCCUAAUACAUGCAAGUCGAGCGAACAGACGAGGAGCUUGCUCCUUUGACGUUAGCGGCGGACGGGUGAGUAACACGUGGGUAACCUACCUAUAAGACUGGGAUAACUUCGGGAAACCGGAGCUAAUACCGGAUAAUAUUUCGAACCGCAUGGUUCGAUAGUGAAAGAUGGCUUUGCUAUCACUUAUAGAUGGACCUGCGCCGUAUUAGCUAGUUGGUAAGGUAACGGCUUACCAAGGCAACGAUACGUAGCCGACCUGAGAGGGUGAUCGGCCGCACUGGAGCUGGGACACGGUCCAGACUCCUACGGGAGGCAGCAGUAGGGAAUCUUCCGCAAUGGGCGAAAGCCUGACGGAGCAACGCCGCGUGAGUGAUGAAGGUCUUCGGAUCGUAAAACUCUGUUAUUAGGGAAGAACAAACGUGUAAGUAACUGUGCACGUCUUGACGGUACCUAAUCAGAAAGCCACGGCUAACUACGUG